rnacentral:pre_miRNA from 1 species
AAUUCAGUUUUUCCGCUAGAUUUAGCGGGAAAAUUGACGUCACGUCACAUCAACAUUGAAUUGGUGUUGCGGCCACGUGACGUCAAUUUUUCUACUAAAUCUAGCGGAGAAACUGAAUU